rnacentral:rRNA from 1 species
UACAGAGGUCUCAAGCGUUGUUCGGAUUCAUUGGGCGUAAAGGGUGCGUAGGUGGCGCCGUAAGUCGGUGGUGAAAUUUCGGAGCUUAACUCCGAAACUGCAUUCGAUACUGCGGUGCUUGAGGACUGGAGAGGAGACUGGAAUUCAUGGUGUAGCAGUGAAAUGCGUAGAGAUCAUGAGGAAGACCAGUGGCGAAGGCGGGUCUCUGGACAGUUCCUGACACUGAGGCACGAAGGCCAGGGAGCAAACGGG